UACGUAGGGUGCAAGCGUUAAUCGGAAUUACUGGGCGUAAAGCGUGCGCAGGCGGUUUUGUAAGUCUGUCGUGAAAGCCCCGGGCUCAACCUGGGAAUUGCGAUGGAGACUGCAAGGCUUGAAUCUGGCAGAGGGGGGUAGAAUUCCACGUGUAGCAGUGAAAUGCGUAGAGAUGUGGAGGAACACCGAUGGCGAAGGCAGCCCCCUGGGCCAACACUGACGCUCAGGCACGAAAGCGUGGGGAGCAAACAGG
rnacentral:rRNA from 1 species